CUGCUGACUGUCCCUUCUUCCUUCUCCCUCUCUAGGGGCAGCCAUCAGCUUUGCCAGGACCUACCUGCUGAGUCCUGGUGCAGGGCGCCGUCUCGGGGUGCCAGCAGUGCUGGUGAUUCUGGCUGACAGCCCCUCUGGGGAUGAUGCCAUCACUGUGGCCAGGGACGUCAAGGCUGGGGGGGUCCAGGUGCUGGCAGUGGGCAUGGAGGGGGCAGACCGGGAGCAGCUCCGGCGCAUGGUCACCAGUGAGGACCCACGGUACAUCUACCAUGGCAGAGACCUGGCAGAGCUGGAGGGAGAGCUCACCGAUGACCUCUGCACCAUCAUCUCCACCAGGCCGGCGCCGGAGCCAAAGCCCUGCUCUGUG